rnacentral:rRNA from 1 species
UACGUAGGGGGCUAGCGUUGUCCGGAAUCAUUGGGCGUAAAGCGCGUGUAGGCGGUCCGGUAAGUCCGCUGUGAAAGUCGGGGGCUCAACCCUCGGAUGCCGGUGGAUACUGUCGGGCUUGAGUACGGAAGAGGCGAGUGGAAUUCCUGGUGUAGCGGUGAAAUGCGCAGAUAUCAGGAGGAACACCAAUUGCGAAGGCAGCUCGCUGGGACGUUACUGACGCUGAGACACGAAAGCGUGGGGAGCAAACAGG